rnacentral:pre_miRNA from 1 species
GUCAUACUCCCUCCGUUCGAAAUUACUUGUCUCGGAAAUGGAUGUAUCUAGAACUAAAAUACGUCUAGAUACAUCCAUUUCUACGACAAGUAAUUCCGAACGGAGGGAGUACGUG